rnacentral:rRNA from 1 species
UUGAACGCUGGCGGCAUGCCUUACACAUGCAAGUCGAACGGUAACGCGGGGCAACCUGGCGACGAGUGGCGAACGGGUGAGUAAUAUAUCGGAACAUACCCUAGAGUGGGGGAUAACGUAGCGAAAGUUACGCUAAUACCGCAUACGAACUAAGGUUGAAAGUGGGGGAUCGCAAGACCUCAUGCUCAUGGAGUGGCCGAUAUCUGAUUAGCUAGUUGGUGAGGUAAAGGCUCACCAAGGCGACGAUCAGUAGCUGGUUUGAGAGAACGACCAGCCACACUGGAACUGAGACACGGUCCAGACUCCUACGGGAGGCAGCAGUGGGGAAUUUUGGACAAUGGGGGCAACCCUGAUCCAGCAAUGCCGCGUGAGUGAAGAAGGCCUUCGGGUUGUAAAGCUCUUUUGUCAGGGAAGAAAAGGUAGUCUCUAAUACAGACUGCUCAUGACGGUACCUGAAGAAUAAGCACCGGCUAACUACGU